GGAUUAUUGGGGCGUAAGCGCGCGCAGGUGGUUUCUUAAGUCUGAUGUGAAAGCCCACGGCUCAACCGUGGAGGGUCAUUGGAAACUGGGAGACUUGAGUGCACAAGAGGAAAGUGGAAUUCCAUGUGUAGCGGUGAAAUGCGUAUAGAUAUGGAGGAACACCAGUGGCGAAGGCGACUUUCCGGUCUGUAACUGACACUGACGCGCGAAAGCGUGGGGAGCAAACAGGAUUACCUACCCUGCUAGUCCUCGCCGCCAUCGAUGAUUGCUGAUUGUUA
rnacentral:rRNA from 1 species